rnacentral:rRNA from 1 species
UACGGGGGGGGCAAGCGUUGUUCGGAAUUAUUGGGCGUAAAGAGCUCGUAGGCGGUCUGUCGCGUCUGCUGUGAAAUCUCAGGGCUUAACCCUGAGCUUGCAGUGGGUACGGGCAGACUAGAGUGCGGUAGGGGAGACUGGAAUUCCUGGUGUAGCGGUGAAAUGCGCAGAUAUCAGGAGGAACACCGGUGGCGAAGGCGGGUCUCUGGGCAGUAACUGACGCUGAGGAGCGAAAGCAUGGGGAGCGAACAGG